rnacentral:rRNA from 1 species
AUGAAGUCUAGCCCACAACAAUAUAGAUUUUUUACUCUGUUACUACUCUUUAUACUAUCCGGCCCACCCAAUAUUUUUUUGGUAGCUCCGCCACUGCUUGUUACAUUGCUUAUUUGUUUUUUUAACCACGUUGGCUGGUUUCUCAAAUUCCUUGCUGUGUGGCCCACCUUUUAUUUUGAUUGUUUAUUCCUGCACAAUAGAGAAUACAAAUAUAAAGUUAAAGAGGAUGAUAUUAAUAAUAUUAUUAGAGACAAUGGCAGACCCACUACAAAGAUCAGUGUCGGUGCGCCCACUGGUCUUUGGAGAGGGGAUUAUCUUGCUCUGCCACUUGAGACCUGGGGCCGGCCGGCCCUGCUCGUGCCAAAUGAAGUAAAGGAGAUCAACUUUGUGCUGAAAUCUUUAAUGAUAAAGAGGAUCUUAAGUUCCAAUCAUCACGUGAAGUCACAAAUAUUGAGUAUCUUUUAG